AGUAGUUUAGUUUUGCCGUCGUAUACAGUCCGCAGCGAUUAGCGUGAUAUCAUGUCCAAUUUUAUAUUGAGCGUUAAGAACUUCAAUUAAACUAAAUUCCCACAGUUAUCAUUGCUAAAAGAAAACCGUGACCGAAAGAAACCGACCGAGCGCGGUUUUUCGUGGAAUUUGCACAAAGCUGGUGGUAGAGGCGACUGGUGGUGGGGACAUCAUGGCAGCAGCAGCCGAAAGGAUUCCGUGUCUAUCGGACGAGAGAUAUAAUCAGGGACAUAAUCUGGUGGUGCAGCGCCAAACACGAUCGGUACGAGGACAUCGUCAAGUAUAGCCGAAACAUCAACAUCGAGAGGAAUCAAAUAAUCUUCCUACUAGAUCCUGAAGAUGUCGAACAUUUCCAUCGCUUCCAUAGUCCUACACCGAUUAGGAAACCUUCCACACGAGAGAUACGAUAUGCUGCUUUCUUGAAAUGUGCAGCUUUGAAAGUGGAUCUGCUGGAUGUGAAAAUGAUGGAACUUCCGCGGAUUUCGAACGAUCAGGCUGCACUCCACAUGUCUCACGAAUCUGGGAGUGUCGGCGGAAUCAGAAUCCACCAAACGAAUGGAACCAGCGGCGCGAUCGCAUGCUCAAUUGCUCUCCGUAAUAUGUACCUAACAUGGCUUAAUUUAAUUGAAUAAAGCUUUACGUGCUUGUUUCCU